AGCAACUCUUUCAUCCAAAAAUGUAUUAGUGCUACCACUACCUACAAGAAUCACCAGUUGCCUAUCUUUGUAUCUCCCAAGAAGUUUGAUAGUGUCUAUACCCUGACUACCCUCAAUUGCAUGAACUGAAAGGGUCCUUUUAGGUUGGUCUUUAUGUAAUUCCUCAUUUGCCAUAAGCACUAUUCCUUCCUCUAUAGCCUCUUCCACACUCUCCUGAUCAUGCUCCUCCAAUUGCAUAGCUAGGGUUGUUUUAGGCUUAAAUUGGUGGCUUGGAAAAAAUUUAUCUCCACAUCUAUAACAAGUUCUAGCUGAUUUAGAAUUAAAAUCAAGGUUUGGUUGAUUGUUCCUGGUUGUACUUUGGUUGACAGAACUGGUAAUUGCAAUAGAAGUAGGUUUUGCAGAAUUUGCGGAGAUGGUUUUAUCUCCACUUGCCUCUCUCCAUCGGGGCGUGCCUCGCCCUGGUGAGGCUGGACAACCUCGUCUCACGCCUCACCCAGCGCCUUUGCUCGCCUUCAAUAACACUCUAUGGACCUGAUAGAGAACAAUGAUUUCUUCAACCCUUUUUCCUUGUUUUAAUUGGGUUUGUUGGUUACACCCUUCUUCCAUAUUUCAAAAGCAUAUGUUACUCGUUGCGUUCUGCUGCUUCCUGUAAUGUGCUAGGAUUAUCUUUAGAUUUUGUUAUCUCUUUUUUCAGUUCUUUUUUAUUUUUAUUGUUAUAAUUUUGUGGUAAUUAAUGUUUUGUUGUUUUGCAAUAGAUUUCAUGCGAAUUUCGACUGUUUACAAUUGAUGAUUUGAGAUUUGAGAGGUUGAAAAAUUUUGCAUUCUGUUAUUCUAUGGAAUGGCCUAGAACCCUAGAACCGAAUAACCAAACCAUUUUGUUUUGAUUCAAUUCAAUUUUUCUAUAUAAUUAGGUUCGUUUUAUAAAAUUUUCUAUUUUGGUUUGGUUCGGUUUGAAAUCAAACCUACCGUUUGCUCAGCCCUUUUCCUUAUGUUUAAAUGAAAAAAGAUAGAUGAAAGAAUUUAUUGUUAUUUGGGAAAAUAAGAGAAUUAGGAAGAGAAAGACAAGGCAUUUAUUGUGAUGGUAGGAUUUUUCCAAUAACAUGCACUGGCAAUGUUCUUUAGGAUUAUGAGUAGUGUAACAGAAGUACAGUGGUGACUUGACUCUAAUUUAGAUAGUGAGAGGACCGAAAGUUCAGCCCAUUGACUAUCCUCUUAAUUCGUGCUUCCUAUUUUCUCAUAAGCACACUGGCAGCUUAGGUUAUUGGGCUCAUUGCCAGGUCAGUGUGUAGGUGCUGUCUUAUAUUAAGAAGAUUACGAUAUCAACGUGUUUAUCAAAAGAAGAGUGACAAAAGGAUCCUGGUAUUAAUCAUUCACAUCAAUCUGCCAUCCUGGAUAGCAUGAAGUAAUUUUACUUUAUUGUGUUGAUGUUAUGUUAUGCAUUUGCAUGAUUCUUUGAUAAUUUGAGUUUUGAAGAAGGGUUCCCUGUUCUCACUAUUUGAUGGUGGUCUACUUAUAAUAUUCUGCAAUUAAGAUAACGUAGUUUGCUUCAUCAUUAGCAAGUCCUUGUCAAAUAUAUCCAGGACUAAUCUAUACGUGAGCUGAAUUAUGUUUGAGGUUUUAUGAUUCUUUGGCUUUUUGAGAGAGAGUUUUGAAGAACCAUGAUGUCUGUUUGCCUUUCUUCUGUGGUUUUCUCUAGACCUGCCAUGGCAUGAGCUGUCUAAUUUUGUUCAUAGAGAUUAUGAAGGCUUAUACUACUUCUCCUAACUUGCUUUCUAGAAUUAUAUAUCCUCCUGUAAAUC
rnacentral:misc_RNA from 1 species